AGGGAACCUGGUUCCUUGACUUUGACCAUUUCAGAAAACCAGCCUUGGGCAUCACUCAGGGUGAGAGGGAAGAAAGAUGUGGGCACUGGAGGGUUGCAGGGAUCAGAGAAGUAGGCAGAGUGAGAGAGAUGCAUGGAGACCUCCAGGCAGUCCCUGGCCACAUUUGUGCUGUGUCUGCUCUGUGCAGUACCAUAGCCCGGGUUAUGGAGAGUGAGAUCUCAAAGAUGAAUCACCCCACUCUCAAGUUGGCUACUUUCAAUUAUUCCUAUUUGAGGAAAGGUUUCCAUAGGAUUACUCUAGGCUCAAAGGAGUCUCUUUGCCCAAACCACCUUGGUGACCCCUAUUGACCUGGCUUGAUUGUUC
rnacentral:lncRNA from 1 species